AUUAUUGUACACAGUUAUCAAAAUGUUCAAGAAAAUGUAACAAAAUGAACAGAGAGUAUGAUCAACAGUCUGCUUACAGAAGAAUACGCCAACCUUUCAAGAAAAUUCCAUGUCAACAGCUUAUUGCUUCAGAUGACACCACAAGUGGCUGGGUUAGAAGGAAGAAAAACAAAAAAUGGAUUCAUAUAUAUAUGGCUCUUCAUAAGGGUUGUGUAUACUAUUACGAAAAUGAACUCAGCAGAACUGAAAUUGAAGGUGUUUCACUAUUUGGUUUCAAAAG